rnacentral:lncRNA from 1 species
UAUGUUUGAAUCCCUCUCUCACUUUCAGCCAACAUUUGUUAUAAAUUAAUUAAAAUUCAAAAAUGCCUUGCUAAUGAUUUAAUACAAUAAAACAAAAAUAGAAAUCAAAACUUAUAAAUAGUUAAAAUAAAAUGGAAACAAUAUAAUAGAAAAUUCUAUUUAUUUAUUUCAAUUCAUUUGACAAAAAACAAAAAUAAAAAGAUUCAAAAUGAAUAAAAUUUGGGCGCAAAAAUGUUCAAAAAAAAUAAAUUGAAUCCAUCAAAAUGAUCAGCACGGAA